rnacentral:rRNA from 1 species
UUUAACUGAAGAGUUUGAUCAUGGCUCAGAUUGAACGCUGGCGGCAGGCUUAACACAUGCAAGUCGAGCGGGGGAAGGUAGCUUGCUACUGGACCUAGCGGCGGACGGGUGAGUAAUGCUUAGGAAUCUGCCUAUUAGUGGGGGACAACAUCUCGAAAGGGAUGCUAAUACCGCAUACGUCCUACGGGAGAAAGCAGGGGAUCUUCGGACCUUGCGCUAAUAGAUGAGCCUAAGUCGGAUUAGCUAGUUGGUGGGGUAAAGGCCUACCAAGGCGACGAUCUGUAGCGGGUCUGAGAGGAUGAUCCGCCACACUGGGACUGAGACACGGCCCAGACUCCUACGGGAGGCAGCAGUGGGGAAUAUUGGACAAUGGGGGGAACCCUGAUCCAGCCAUGCCGCGUGUGUGAAGAAGGCCUUAUGGUUGUAAAGCACUUUAAGCGAGGAGGAGGCUACUUUAGUUAAUACCUAGAGAUAGUGGACGUUACUCGCAGAAUAAGCACCGGCUAACUCUGUGCCAGCAGCCGCGGUAAUACAGAGGGUGCGAGCGUUAAUCGGAUUUACUGGGCGUAAAGCGUGCGUAGGCGGCUUAUUAAGUCGGAUGUGAAAUCCCCGAGCUUAACUUGGGAAUUGCAUUCGAUACUGGUGAGCUAGAGUAUGGGAGAGGAUGGUAGAAUUCCAGGUGUAGCGGUGAAAUGCGUAGAGAUCUGGAGGAAUACCGAUGGCGAAGGCAGCCAUCUGGCCUAAUACUGACGCUGAGGUACGAAAGCAUGGGGAGCAAACAGGAUUAGAUACCCUGGUAGUCCAUGCCGUAAACGAUGUCUACUAGCCGUUGGGGCCUUUGAGGCUUUAGUGGCGC